AUGGUAAGAGAUCUCCUUGUUCCGGGGUGUAUUAAUAUCACAGAGCAGAAGGGCAGGGUCCAAAUUUUCUGGUCUGAGGAGCAAUUAUUGGUUUUCUUCAAAGGUUAUGACAAGGAUGGAGAUGGCGGACUUACCAAAGAUAUGAGGCCAAGGCAGCCUUCGAUAAACUUGGGUCGCGUUUCAGCACUUUCAGAACUUGGAGAGCACGAUGCCAUGCAGAUACCAACAGCAAAGACAGGUCCAUCCUCAACGUCAACGACCUUGUCAAAUAUGCCCUAAAACGUGGCUAUAAACUCUGA
rnacentral:lncRNA from 1 species